CGGCGGACGGGUGAGUAAUGCUUAGGAAUCUGCCUAUUAGUGGGGGACAACAUCUCGAAAGGGAUGCUAAUACCGCAUACGUCCUACGGGAGAAAGCAGGGGACCUUCGGGCCUUGCGCUAAUAGAUGAGCCCAAGUCGGAUUAGCUAGUUGGUGGGGUAAAGGCCUACCAAGGCGACGAUCUGUAGCGGGUCUGAGAGGAUGAUCCGCCACACUGGGACUGAGACACGGCCCAG
rnacentral:rRNA from 1 species